UACGUAGGGUGCGAGCGUUGCCCGGAUUUAUUGGGCGUAAAGGGCGCGUAGGCGGCUCUGCACGUCCGUUGUGAAAUCGCCCGGCUCAACUGGGCGGGGUCAGCGGAUACGGCGGAGCUUGAGCAAGCUAGGGGGCAAUGGAAUUCCCGGUGUAGUGGUGGAAUGCGUAGAUAUCGGGAAGAACACCCGUGGCGAAGGCGGUUCUCUGGGACGGUACUGACGCUGAGACGCGAAAGCGUGGGGAGCGAACAGG
rnacentral:rRNA from 1 species